AACACAUGCAAGUCGAGGGGCAGCAUGGUCUUAGCUUGCUAAGGCUGAUGGCGACCGGCGCACGGGUGAGUAACACGUAUCCAACCUGCCGUCUACUCUUGGCCAGCCUUCUGAAAGGAAGAUUAAUCCAGGAUGGCAUCAUGAGUUCACAUGUCCGCAUGAUUAAAGGUAUUUUCCGGUAGACGAUGGGGAUGCGUUCCAUUAGAUAGUAGGCGGGGUAACGGCCCACCUAGUCAACGAUGGAUAGGGGUUCUGAGAGGAAGGUCCCCCACAUUGGAACUGAGACACGGUCCAAACUCCUACGGGAGGCAGCAGUGAGGAAUAUUGGUCAAUGGGCGAUGGCCUGAACCAGCCAAGUAGCGUGAAGGAUGACUGCCCUAUGGGUUGUAAACUUCUUUUAUAAAGGAAUAAAGUCGGGUAUGCAUACCCGUUUGCAUGUACUUUAUGAAUAAGGAUCGGCUAACUCCGUGCCAGCAGCCGCGGUAAUACGGAGGAUCCGAGCGUUAUCCGGAUUUAUUGGGUUUAAAGGGAGCGUAGAUGGAUGUUUAAGUCAGUUGUGAAAGUUUGCGGCUCAACCGUAAAAUUGCAGUUGAUACUGGAUGUCUUGAGUGCAGUUGAGGCAGGCGGAAUUCGUGGUGUAGCGGUGAAAUGCUUAGAUAUCACGAAGAACUCCGAUUGCGAAGGCAGCCUGCUAAGCUGCAA
rnacentral:rRNA from 1 species